UUGUGGUUAGAGAAGCAAAAAGAAGAGAAAAAAACUGCACGAGUGAAAUUUCCUGGUAAUUCUGACCUGUCCUAAGAUCUGACCCAGUAUGGAAAGAGGUUGAACUUGGGAGUCAAGGCCUUGGGUUCAGUUUAAGUUCUCCACUUAUAAGAGGUAAGGACUUUGUCUUUUGACCCCAGUUUAUCCCAAAUGCUUCCAAACACAUAUUUUCACUGACUUUGCAAAAAAGAAAAAU
ensembl:lncRNA